UAGGUUCUUAAGGGGACCUCCUACCCAAA
rnacentral:piRNA from 1 species